rnacentral:lncRNA from 1 species
GGCGGAGAAGCAGAGGAGAGGGAGGCUGGAAGCACGUUUGGCCCGGGACAGAAAUCUGGAGAGCUUGGCUACCUCCAUCCUCCUCAGGCCGGAGCAGGCUUCCUGAGAGAGUCCAGGUCGUAGGAGUUUUACGACUUAGAAAAGCGGGCUACAGAUUCCUUCCUGGGUGUUUGGUUCAAGCCUUGGCUCCGGCCUUAUUCUCAGUCUUCCCUGGAGUUCGUGGGAUUUGGACCUUAGAUUAUUAGCAUUAUUUUGAGGGCCUCCUGUGUGUAAGCACUGGUUGUGCGCAGAUGGCUGUGCAGAGCGCCAGGAGGUAGAGGCUGGGGAAAUGAGGGCUCGGAGGUGCUUGAGGUGUAGUCUUUACCUACGUGAAAUGUUGGAGGUUGAGAUGAGAACUCUUGCUUUGAAUUCUUCAUGGAGGACUACAUCAUUUCAAUCCUGAAUCUGGCUCAAUUCUAUUAUUCACUUAUUACUGUAUUAAAAACGUUUAAUUGGCCGGGCACAGUGGUUCACGCCUGUAAUCCCAGCACUUUGGGAGGCCAAGGCAGGCGGAUCACUUGAGGUCAGGAGUUUGAGACCAGCCUGGCCAACAUGGCAAAACCCCACCUCUACUAAAAAUACAAAAAUUAGCUGGGCGUGGCGGCACGCACCUGUAAUCACAGCUACUUGUGAGGCUGAGGUGGCAGAAUUGUUUGAACCCAGGAGGUGGAGGUUGCAGUGAGCCGAGAUCACGCCACUGCACUCAAGCCUUGGCAUCAGAGUGAGACUCUGUCUCAGUAAAAAAAUAAAUAAAAUAAAAAUGUUUAAUUAACCGUGAUAUUUGCUUUGGUAAAACCUUUGAGGUUUAACGAGAAUUUUAAAAUUCAUUAUACUUUUCUUAUAGCAUAUAAAAGUUUUAGUAUUUUUUUAUUGUCUCAACUAACAUCAUAAAUGUCUUAAUGUUAAAAUCCAUGGGAUAUUCUAUUUAAAAUUUUAGCUUUAUCACCUUUGUGCUAUCAGAGAAUGUGCUUUGAACUGGUAAAAUGAGUUAAAGUAUUGGAAAACACUUAUGUCAGUAGAGGCUCUUAAAAAUCAUUUUCAUCCUUCCUCUUCUAGUGAUGAUUUUUUUUUAACCCAUGUUUUCACCAGUCUGCCAAUCCAAUGGCAUAAAUGCUCCUACACAGGCAACUUAAGUGUUUCUUAAGUUGAUGCAAGGUAUUUUGCAUGAGGCUGAAUUCUUGUUGUUGGAGCAGAGGAUUUUUGUUCCAACUACUGAAUUGGCAAAAUGUUAAUAUAAAAACACCUCAAAAAGUCAAA